rnacentral:rRNA from 1 species
UACGUAGGGGGCUAGCGUUGUCCGGAAUCAUUGGGCGUAAAGAGCGCGUAGGCGGCUAGAUAAGUCCGGUGUGAAAGUCACAGGCUCAACCUGUGAAUGCCGCUGGAAACUGUCUGGCUAGAGUCCGGAAGGGGCGAGUGGAAUUCCUGGUGUAGCGGUGAAAUGCGCAGAUAUCAGGAAGAACACCCGUGGCGAAGGCGGCUCUCUGGUACGUGACUGACGCUGAGACGCGAAAGCGUGGGGAGCGAACAGG